AAGUCGUAACAAGGUUUCCGUAGGUGAACCUGCGGAAGGAUCAUUAACACAAUUUUACUGUGAUAAAUCCGUUGAAUUCUCGAAUUCAAUGGUAUCCACCCCAUUAUUGACGAACUUUUCUAGAUGUUAAAACAUAGAGCUAGUCUUUAUGUUUUUAACAUUCUAAACCUUUUUCUCUAUCCACACAAAUUUAAACCCCUUUUACAACAUGUAUUAGACUGAAAUGAAAAUUUUCUAUCAAAAAAUUGAUAAAAACAACUUUUAACAACGGAUAUCUUGGCUCUC
rnacentral:misc_RNA from 1 species